rnacentral:lncRNA from 1 species
GGUGGGAAGUGGAGAGGAGAGGACCCCUGCGACAGCUGACCUCACUGGUGCAUGGCAGAAAACUCCAGACAGGCGGAUGAAUACUGCAUUUCUGGGGAAGGCUGAAGUUGUAAUUAGUGUGGGCGUUACACCUAGGGUUGCUAUCAUGGGCUUGAGCACAAUGAUGCCUUUCGGGGCCUGUGGUUUUUCUCUGUAACAAUGGGAAAGAAGCCUCUGCCUACAACGGUGCCUUACGUAGUUUUAAAACUAUUCUAUGAUCUUGGAGGUUUACGGUCCGCAGGUGUAAUACACAUGCCUUUUUCCUCUAUGGAGAAAUCCAAGGACACCUUUUAAAUGACACCAACCUUAUUUUCCAGUAUUUUUUUCAAACCUUUAUCUUUCUAAUUCACCGUACCUGAGACAAAUCAGCCUACGCACUCUUGCAGGCUGUACACAUCCCUCUCUCCACUUGGAGUAGCCUUUACUCUGUGACAACCUGAAGGUGCAGGUGAAGCUUAUCUAGAUGAGGAAGCAGGCUCAGCAGGAAGUAAUCGUGCUGUUCUAUCAUUCUACCGACUUGGUGUCAAGACACUGGUGAGUACCGGGCACCAUCGUGGAUGUUUUUAAACCCGCACGACUCCAAAUUCAUACCUCAAGACAUUGGGAUGAACAGGUAGCAGUAGGAGUCAAGAAAUCUGUAUGUUCAGUAAGUUUCCAGGUAAUUCUGAUGCAAGUGUGCUAAGGACUUCACGCUGAAACAAAUAUUUGUCUACACAUACCUUUGAACCUUCCUCAUGGUUUGGAAUACAUGCUUUUUUUCCAGCAUAGACGUAAUAAACCUUAAAAACAAAAAUCACAACUUACGGUUUUCAUACCCCCCCAAGAGUUUGGCACAGUAUACUGUCCCAUAUAAAGCAAUAUUAAAUAUAUAUACAUACUAAUAUUAUUAUAAAUAUAUACUAUUAAAUAUUUGUUACAAAAAAGUGAGUUAGUAAGAAAUCCUAAUUUUUCACAAAUAUUUAUAUUUCUUGAAAUAGUGUCCCAUUGAUUUUUUUUUUUUAAUAUUUAAAGCUGCUGUACUAGUACCCCUAGUUUUUUGGGGUUUUUUUGUCUUUUUGUCCUUUUUAGGGCCACACUCAUGGCAUAUGGAGGAGGUUCCCAGGCUAGGGAUCUUAAUUGGAGCUGCAGCCACUGGCCUAUGCCACAGCCAUAGCAAUGCCAGAUCUGAGCCACGUCUGUGACCCACACCACAGCUCAUGGCAACGCCAGAUCCUUAACCCACUGAGUGAGGCCAGGGAUCGAACCCGAAACCUCAUGGUUCGUAGUGGGAUUUAUUUCCGCUGCGCCACGAUGGGAACUCCACCCCUAGAUUUAACAUUAACUUUGUAAUACAUAAUAACUUUAUAACACAGACUUUAUGUCAUUGUUGGUACUUAGGUGGCUUUUUUAUACAAAAUCAUAUAAUACAUAUUGUUCAUAAUCAUAAAAUAUAUUAUUCUACAAAAUCAUAUAAUUAUUUUUUUUACUUUUCAGAACCUUUAAUAUGCUGAUAUAAAGUAUGAAUCAAAAAAGAUCAUUUAUGCUGGGCAUUUCUCAUACUUUACUUUUUUUUUCCUUUUUUAUUACUUAAUGAAUUAUAUUACAUUUACAGGUGUAUAACAAUCAUCACAACCAAAUUUUACAGCAUGUCCAUCCCAAAUCCUCAGUACAUCCCCCCACCUCCCAACCUGUCUCAUUUGGAAACCAUAAGUUUUUCAAAGUCUGUGAGUCAGAUCUGUUCUGCAAAGAAGUCCAUUCUGUCCUCUUUUUAGGUUCCACAUGAAGUGAAAGCAUUUGAUGUUGGUGUCUCAUUGUCUGGCUGACUUCACUUAGCAUGAUAAUUUCUAGGUCCAUCCAUGCUGCCCCAAAUGUCCUUAUUUCUUUCCUUUUAAUGGCUGAGUAAUAUUCCAUUGUGUAUAUGUACCACAUAUUCUGGAUCCACGCCUCUGUCAAUGGACACUGAGGUUGUUUCCAUGUCUUGGCUAUUGCAAAUAGUGCUGCAGUGACCAUCAGAGUACAUGUGUCUUUGCGAGUCGUGGUUUUCUCUGGAUAGAUGCCCAGGAGUGGGAUUGCUGGAUCAACUGGUAGUUCUAUGUUUAGUUUUCUGAGGCGUCUCCAUACCGUUUCCCACAGUGGCUGCACCAAUUUACAAUCCCACCAACAGUGUACUAGGGUUCCUUUCUCUCCACACCAUACUUAUUUUACUUAUUUCAUACUUAAUCCCCUUUUCACAGAAUAUAGUUAAGGAUAUACAAGUGUAUCUAUACAUAUGAACAAACUUAAAGAGAAUAGUUUUAGAGGAAUUCAAACCAAAUAAGAUGUGAUUUUAAAAUAUUAUCAACGCUAAUCCACAGAAUGGGAGAAAAUCUUUACACAUGGUAUGUAUGAUAAGGGAGUUGUAUUUGAAAAAUAUGUAAAAAACUACCACAAAUUAGUAAUGAAAAGAUAAAUAAAAAUGAACGGAGGAUCUAAAAAACAGUAUCUCCAAUGAAGUUACACAAAUGACCAAUAAGCACAUGAAGUGAUACUUGACAUAAUUAGCUAUCAAAGGAAUGCAAAUCAAAGUCACAAUGAGAUACCAUUUCACACCUACCCAAAUGACUACAAUCAGAAAGCCAGGUAAUAACGAGUGUUAUUGAAAGUGUGGAGUAAUGGAAAAACACAUACGCUGCUGGUCAGAAUGUAAAAUGAUGCAAUUGCCUUAGAAAACGGUUUGGCAGUUCCUCAAAAGGUUAAAUAGAGUGUUAUCAAAUGACCCAGCAAUUCCAGUCCUUAAUGAUUAUACCGAAGAGAAAUAAAAACCAUAGGUGCAUACUACAACUUGGACAUAAAUGUUCAUAGCAAUAUUAUUCAUAAUAACCAAAAAGCGAAACACCCCCAAAUGCCUGUCAGCUAACAAAUGGCUACAUAAAAUUCCAUACACCCGUAUAAUGGAAUAUUAUUCAGCAAGAGAAAGAAAUAUGGACUCAUGCUACAACAUGAACUUUGAAAUACAUCAAGUGAAAGAAGCCACUCCCAAAGGACCACAUAUUACAGGACCCAUCUGCAUGAAAUACUCAGGACAGGCAAGUUAGAGAGAGGCAGGAGAUUGCUGGUUGCUCAAGGUCAGGGAGAAGGUUAUGAGUGGAUGACAGUGAGAGUUACUGCGAGCCUCUUUAUUUCAAGCCACUUCCAUCUCUCCUUGAGGAGUCUUCCUCUGUAUUACUGAGUUUCGUAGUCAGUCCUACAGAACAUAAGCUUUUCUUCUUUCAUGUGAAAACAAUGUAUGAUUUUUAAUGUUCACAUUUAUAAUUUAUUCCAGAAAUAUACUGUUCUACCAAAACCAUAUAAUUAUAAACAAUGAGCAAUCCACCUUUCACAGAUUUUAGUUUAUUUUUUUAUUUUUAUUUUUUGUCUUCUUUUUUUUUUAGGGCCGCAUCCGCGGCAUACGGAGGUUCCCAGGCGAGGGGUAGAAUCGGAGCUCCACUGGCCUACACCACAGCCAAGGCAACGCGGGAUCCGAGCCAGGUCUUCAAGCUACACCACACAGCUCACAGCAACGCCGGAUCCUUAACCCACGGAGCAAGGCCAGGGAUCGAACCCGCAAUCUCACCGUUCCUAGUCGGAUUCGCUAACCACUGAGCCACACGGGAACUCCAGCAGGACCUUGUUUUGAUCCAUCUUACACAGAACCGUUUGCAUCAGGUACCCUCUAAGUACAAAGAACGUUGAGUUUUCCCAUCACUUGAUUCAUGAAACGAAGGUACCCUCCAUUCUCAAUGCUCCUGUUAUCUCCUGUACCCUAUGACUCUGAUGUGCUCAGGAGUAAAAGUCUCUGUGUUUAUCUUUGGGUUUGUUGGGUUUUUUGAACAGUAAAUCAAUGUUUUCAUUAAACUGGGGAGGUCUGGGCCAUUAUUCCCUCCAUUUUUCUUUCUUUCUAGCUCAGCAGUCAACCAUGGAGUUGGACAACUUAGGCUCCAAAGUUGUGACUCUCUCCGGAGGGGCUGGUGCUGGGAGGGUUUCUCUUCAACUUGCAGCUGCUUUCCCAGUCCCAUCUCCAAUCCUGGCGUCAUCAGUGGUGAGGCUGCCCUGUUUCCACCGCAGUCUCCCACAGUCACACCCGUGGGAGCUGAGUACCACCCUUGGACCAAAAGCUGCAAACCCACAAUUCCUAGCCAUUCCAGCUACAGGUUUUCAAAACCCUUACAGACGCAUGUUUUAAUGUACUUUUUAAUGGCUUGCAAUAUCUUUCUAUAGAUUUGUAACCCAAUAUUUGACAGCUGCCAUCGGUAACUAUUUU